rnacentral:rRNA from 1 species
CAUGUCUAGUAUAAGCAUUAUACCGUGAAACUGCGAAUGGCUCAUUAAAUCAGUUAUCGUUUAUUUGAUAGUACCUUACUACUUGGAUAACCGUGGUAAUUCUAGAGCUAAUACAUGCUAAAAACCCCGACUUCGGGAGGGGUGUAUUUAUUAGAUAAAAAACCAAUGCCCUUCGGGGCUCUUUGGUGAUUCAUGAUAACUUAACGGAUCGCAUGGCCUUGCGCCGGCGACGGUUCAUUCAAAUUUCUGCCCUAUCAACUUUCGAUGGUAAGGUAUUGGCUUACCAUGGUUUCAACGGGUAACGGGGAAUUAGGGUUCGAUUCCGGAGAGGGAGCCUGAGAAACGGCUACCACAUCCAAGGAAGGCAGCAGGCGCGCAAAUUACCCAAUCCCGACACGGGGAGGUAGUGACAAUAAAUACUGAUACAGGGCUCUUUUGGGUCUUGUAAUCGGAAUGAGUACAAUUUAAACCCCUUAACGAGGAACAAUUGGAGGGCAAGUCUGGUGCCAGCAGCCGCGGUAAUUCCAGCUCCAAUAGCGUAUAUUAAAGUUGUUGCAGUUAAAAAGCUCGUAGUUGAACCUUGGGCCUGGCUGGCCGGUCCGCCUCACCGCGUGUACUGGUCCGGCCGGGCCUUUCCUUCUGGAGAGCCGCAUGCCCUUCACUGGGUGUGCCGGGGAACCAGGACUUUUACUUUGAAAAAAUUAGAGUGUUCAAAGCAGGCCUUUGCUCGAAUACGUUAGCAUGGAAUAAUAGAAUAGGACGUGCGAUCCUAUUUUGUUGGUUUCUAGGACCGCCGUAAUGAUUAAUAGGGAUAGUCGGGGGCAUCAGUAUUCAAUUGUCAGAGGUGAAAUUCUUGGAUUUAUUGAAGACUAACUACUGCGAAAGCAUUUGCCAAGGAUGUUUUCAUUAAUCAGUGAACGAAAGUUAGGGGAUCGAAGACGAUCAGAUACCGUCGUAGUCUUAACCGUAAACUAUGCCGACUAGGGAUCGGGCGAUGUUUUCAUCUUGACUCGCUCGGCACCUUACGAGAAAUCAAAGUUUUUGG